CGUAGGGUGCGAGCGUUAAUCGGAAUUACUGGGCGUAAAGCGUGCGCAGGCGGUUUGUUAAGAUAGGCGUGAAAUCCCCGGGCUCAACCUGGGAACUGCGCUUAUGACUGGCAAGCUAGAGUACGGCAGAGGGGGUGGAAUUCCACGUGUAGCAGUGAAAUGCGUAGAGAUGUGGAGGAACACCAAUGGCGAAGGCAGCCCCCUGGGUCGAUACUGACGCUCAUGCACGAAAGCGUGGGUAGCAAACAGGAUUAGAUACCCUGGUAGUCCACGCCCUAAACGAUGUCAACUAGGUGUUGGAUGGGUAAAACCAUUUAGUACCGGAGCUAACGCGUGAAGUUGACCGCCUGGGGAGUACGGCCGCAAGGUUA
rnacentral:rRNA from 1 species